AUUGAACGCUGGCGGCAGGCUUAACACAUGCAAGUCGAGCGAGCGGCGGGCGGGUGAGUAAUGUCUGGGCCACUGCCCGAUGGAGGGGGAUAACUACUGGAGAUGAUAGCGAAUACCGCAUCCCAUCGGAUGUGCCCCGAGGGGAUUAGCUAGUAGGUGGGGUAAUGGCCCACCUAGGCGACGAUCCCUAGCUGGUCUGAGAGGAUGACCAGCCACACUGGAACUGAGACACGGCCCAGAGUCCUAAGGGAGGCAGCAGUGGGGAAUAGUGCACAAGGGGCGCAAGCAUGAUGCAGCCAUGGCGAGUGUGUGAAGAAGGCCCUGGGGGUGUAAAGCACUUUCAGCGAGGAGGCGUUACUCGCAGAAGAAGCACCGGCUAACUCCGUGCCAGCAGCCGCGGUAAUUC
rnacentral:rRNA from 1 species